rnacentral:lncRNA from 1 species
AUGGGGAUGGGGACGGUGAGGAUGAUGAAGAUGAAGAUGAGGAGGAUGAUGGUGGUGAUGAAGAUGAUGAUGAUGGUGAAGAUGAGGAUGAUGAUGAGGAUGAGGAUGAUGACGAUGAAGACGACGAUGAAGACGAUGAUGAAGACGAUGAUGAAGACGAUGAUGAAGACGAUUGAUGAGGAUGAUGAUGAAGAUGAUGAUGAUGAAGAUGAUGAUGAUGACGAUGAAGAUGAGGAGGAUGAUGAUGACGAUGAUGAUGAUGACGAUGAUGACGAUGAUGAGGAGGAUGACGAAGAUGAGGAUGAUGAUGAUGAUGAUGAAGAGCCGGGGCCCUCAGCAGCAGGCCCAGGUGGGCGGGGAGCUCUCCUUGAGGCUGAUGUAGUCCCCGGUGGCAGCGGGGCCGGAGCUGCCGUCCCCGGAGCAGGAGGACAUCAUCUUCUCCAUCAGAACCCUGCGGAGAAAACCCUCAGCUCAUCGGGCCUCCUCCUGCUUGGCUUUUGUUUGUUUGAUUCAUUUUUGGGGCUUUUCUAGGAACCAGUAGCAUUGGGCAGUGCAGAAAAGAAAUAAAAAUUAAAAAAGCCAAGCA